UAGUCCUAGUCUGGUCCUUUUAGUCCUAGUCUGGUCCUGAUCUCUGUAUAGGACUACUGUUUCAGCUCCUAUGUUUGUUGUCUUUGUCAUGACAUUCUUAAGGCUUUUCGUCCUCUGUAUGUCAUGCUGUUUUCUGCUGUGGUUUAGUCUGGUCCUUUUAGUCCUAGUCUGGUCCUUUUAGCCUGGUCCUUUUAGUCCUAGUCUGGUCCUUUUAGUCCUAGUCUGGUCCUGAUCUCUGUAUAGGACUACUGUUUCAGCUCCUAUGUUUGUUGUCUUUGUCAUGACAGCCCAAAGGCUUUUCGUCCUCUCUAUGUCAUUCUGUUUUCUGCUGUGGUUUAGCCGUUAAACCCAUGCCAGGCCCUGGUGCGCAGACUGUCUGUCAUUAAUCUGGAGAACUUCAGGAGACAGUACGCACGACGGAGAUGGAAGGAUGAUGAGAAGAGGGCAGGAACAACAACAACAUGACCAGAGGAGCUGUGACAGCGACAACGAGGAAGAGACCAGGAAGACAAGACUACAGACCAGGAAGAGGAGUAACACUUCCUGAAGACAACAACCAACCAAAACACCACCAUUCCUCCAUUCCACUUCCUGAAGACAACAACCAACCAAAACACCACCAUUCCUCCAUUCCACUUCCUGAAGUCAACAACCAACCAAAACACCACCAUUCCUCCAUUCCACUUCCUGAAGACAACAACCAACCAAAACACCACCAUUCCUCCAUUCCACUUCCUGAAGACAACAACCAACCAAAACACCACCAUUCCUCCAUUCCACUUCCUGAAGACAACAACCAACCAAAACACCACCAUUCCUCCAUUCCACUUCCUGAAGUCAACAACCA